CUUCUUCGUACAAAGGUUACUUGCGAAAUAACGAACAAGACACGUAUAAAAGGAGUUGGACAGAUUGCAACUCCCUCAAAGCUGCAGUGUUACAUACAUCAACAGUCUAUUAACUUAGUUAUUUCAAACAGAGGGAAAACAUAGAAAUGGACAAGCUGUCACUCGUAACUUUAAUUGCCUGUCUUGUAUCUAUUAGUAUAGUUAUGCAAGGAGCUGACGCGCAAGAUUGUGCUACUCCAAAAAUAACCGCAUGCACCACAACCUACACCGGCGCGGUAGCAGGGGCCGCAGGAGACAAGAAGAAAAUAUGCAGUGCAGCAAAUACCUAUCUAGAUUGUUUGAACAAAGUUGUCACUGACUGCAAAUUGGAUUCCGGCACUUCUGUUAUAAGCCAAACCAUCGCUGCUGCGAAACAGGCCCUUUCCCAGUAUGGAUGUGGAAGUGGAAAUGGUGCUGGAAGUCAUGUUUUCAACUUGGUUGCAAUGGUUUCAGGACUUACAUUUUAUAGCUGUUUUAGAUGAAAUACUUUAAUUUAUUUGUAGUUACAAAUCUACACGUAAAAUAUUUAUAAAACAAAAUUCAAACAAAAAUACGAACAAACUCUUAUAUGGAUACUUUCAGAUAUUGUUUAUUGUCAACAUUAACUUCUGAAAUAAAUGAUUUGUACAGUUUUUGAUAAUUUUCUUUUUUUCUGUUUUUUUAAUGAUUCUUAGCUGUCAAUUUUCUCCUUUGCAAUAUCUUUGUACGUUUUGGCAGUUAAGUUUAUUAACAGGUUAUAUGCAUUCCCAUGGACAACAAUUACGCCCCUUUAAUAGCAGAAUGUUCCUGAAUUGUUAUGAAUCACUGUCUAUUCUGCUUUUAAUUGAUAGAUUUGAUAACACUUACCGUUACCUUGAUGAUAAGUUUGAUUUAGAUAAUCCAGUUUUUUUUUAUAUUACUGUGGAAAUAAACCAAAGGGAGCUUGCUUUACAUUUUAUUACAUACAGCAUUAAUUGUCCUUUUCUAUAUUUGGAUAUUUUAGCUUCACAUUGGAAACUAUAUAUACAAAUGUACGACCAAAAAAAAUGUUUUUUCGUUCCCUAUUAUGGUCGGUGAUAUUCCUUUGACCCCUCCUUAAGGUGUGUAUAUUCCAAACUUGUUCGCUAUUCUCGUGUCAGUAAAUGCGUUUUAGAUGACAAUGAGCGAAAUAUUAAGUAAAUGAUUUCGUUACCACAAAUUAAUCAAACUGUUACUAAAUUCCUUUAUAAAUCCAAAGACUUCUCAGAAAGUUUGGCUGUACCUGUAGAAGAGAGGCGAAAGAUACCAAAGGGACAUUAAAACUCAAAAGUCGAAAAUAUUUUGACAACGCAAUGGCAAAAAAAAAAACCAAGACGAUAAGACAAACAACAGUACAAAAGCACAACACAGAAAACACUAAAGAGUGGGCAACACGAACCCCAGAAGAACUUAGGGCGAUUUCAUGUGCUCCGGAAGGGUAGGCUGAUCCUGCUCCACUAGUGACACCCGUCGUGUUGCUCAUGUUAGUAUAAACGGUUAUAACUCUAAUUUGAUAGGUUCCAUUCAGAGAGGGAAGACGGGGGUUGGUUAUUAAAAACGGGAGAUAGCAUCCUAAAUUUUACGGUUAUAUUGUUUAUAAGCAAGUUUCUUUUUACACGUUCUAUCUGAUCUACAGAUGGAUAUUUUGUAAACAAGAUUUUUAUUUGAGAUUUUAUAAAUUUUCACUCCCUCCAUCCCCUUUCACCACCUUAAGCUUUUUUGUUCAUUUUGAUGUUUGUUAGAUGUACAUUUAUACUUGUUAUUCAUUACAAUUGUAUUUUGUAGAUAUACAUAUUUUAAGUUGUGAGCAUCUUCAUUUCUAAAUGCUUAUGUUGCAGGUGUUACACUUAGCAUUUCAAUAUUUUUAUAUGGCUUGGCUUAGUUGACCCCUUCCUAGGCCACGCUAUUGUAUUCUGUAUAAUGAUAUUAUCGUUUUAUGUUUUUUGUUCAUUAUUAUCUUGUUGUACAAAUGUAUAUGUACAAUGUAUUUAUUGUUUAUUUUUAUAUGAAAACAAUUUUUACUCUGAAUAAGUAAACAAUUCACAAUUCAC